UCCCUUUGAAAAGUGCGCCAUAAGGCUUAUAUUCCGAGAGCCGCCUUGCGCGGCUAUGGCGAUAAACGGUGUCGAAAUAAGCUCUUCGGACCCGGGGGCGGUACCCGGCGCCUCCACCAAAGCCCGGUUGCGCCUGCUUUUGCUGCGCGACGCGGGUUUCGGCGGGGGCGAAAUAGGUUCGACGGGGAGUGUAAAGGACGAUCUUUUGCCCGGCAUGGUUCCGCCGUCAUCGGGCCGAACCUUAUAGUUGCUAAUGACAACUAUGCUCCGGUGGCUCUUGCCGCGUAAUGCGGCAAUAGUACCGAAAUCAAGCCCUUGGAGGUAGCACUUCAAGGCGGGGUCCGGAGGCACCUGGCAACAGAAGCCUCCACU
rnacentral:tmRNA from 1 species